GAAGCUGAACUUCAGGUUUUAUUUCAGAACAAACAGCAGAAACUUGACAACAUUUCCCUUUAGAAUCCCUAUCACUGAUGUCUUCCCUCCAGAGCUGCCUCAUCGAUCAGUCGACUGACGGAAACCUCGUUUUAUUGAUUAAACCAGAGAUAACAGGAUGAUAACGGAUGCUGCAGCGCCUCCUGUUGGUCCAAUCAGAACAAACCAAACUGACUGUAAAAUGUUUUUUGUUGAUGAAGAGUUCAGGUGGAGUAAAAUCAUCCUGUAAUGUGCUGCAGGAUCCAGUAGAGGGCAGCAGCACCUUAAGAAUUCUGGUUCUAGGUUUCAUUUGGUGCCUCAAACAUGUAACAGUUUUUUAAAUGUUCUGAUUUGACCACAUGAUGGCGCCAUGCUGCGAUAAACAAAGAAAACAAACAAAGGAGAACUCUUGUAGUGAUGUUGACAUGUCUUUUAGAAGACCUCAAAGAUAUUUUAAACUGUUUAAUUCUGAAGUUAGAGGAUUAAACACUCAUUAACGGAAACCAGAGAGGAUCCAGGUUAGAACCCUGUGGGACGCCACGGCAAGAAAAAAACAAAUUUAAAUGCCGUAAAACUGAAACACAAGAAAUUGGCACUUAUUUCUUUUAAAACAAAACUCUUGUAAUGAUGUUGAAAAGUAUUUUAGAAGACUAAACAGAUGUUUUAAACUGUUUAAUUAGAAACUUAGAAGACUAAAUAGAUGUUUUAAACUGUUUAAUUAGAAACUUAGAAGAGUAAACAUAUGUUUUAAACUGUUUAAUUAGAAACUUAGAAGAGUAAACAGAUGUUUUAAACUGUUUAAUUAGAAACUUAGAAGAUUAAGUACUCAGAAAUGGAAACCAAAGAGGAUCCAGGUCUGAUCCUUGUGGGACGCCACGUCAAGAAAAACAACGUAAAACUCAAAUACGACAAAACUGAGUCUGAUUUUCUUGUCAUUUACAGUUAAACUACCAGUUAUUUACACCGUCAACUGUUUUCUAGAUGGAUCGAUUCGUUGUUUUGUCCUAAAAUCUUCAUUUUACUGUCGGAAAAGAAGGACACCAGAAAUCAGUAAUCGUGUUUUUCUUUAACGUUGUUAAUCAGUAACAAGUUUUUCUCUAUUUCUGGUUGAUAAAGGUCCAAACAGUCAGCUAAUCAGGUUGUUUAUCUGUCAGUCGACUGAUCAGUUCUUCUUCAAACUAAAACUUCCUCCAAUGAUCAAUAAAUCAGCAGAUCAAUAAACAUUAAUAUUAACAUCGCAGCACAGAACAGGUUAGGAACAUUCUUCAUGUAGCAGCAGCUAGAACAUUAAAGGUGCUAAAGUCAUGUAUAAAACAAGUAACCUUAAAGCUUUGACUCUCUAAAAACAACACCAGCGCUAAUGUUGUAGAAGCGUUGUUUCCAUGUUGUCUGUUGGUUUUCUACAGGUUAAUAAACAGAAUAAAUAGUGGUUACUUUGCUUGUUCAGCAGAAAAAGACACUAAAUAGUUCCAAUAAAUACGUGCAGCUGAUUGAGAACCUAAACAUUCUCCAGGUUCCACCAUGUCUCAGAUCUCAUGAUGUUUUAAUGCGGUUCCUGUUUAAAGUGGUUCUGUUGAGAUGAUUUAAUGAUUAAUAACCAACAAGUGCAGUCACAACCAGAACAAACUAGUCUGGAACUGGGUCUGACCGUUUCAAUCCUCUGAAAGAACCUCAGACUCAUUAUGAAGUUCAAAAACACAAAGCAUCCGAAUCAAAGAGGAUCCAGGUUAGAACCCUGAGGAACGCCAUGCCAUGAAAAACUCACAUUUAAACGACGUAGAACUCAAAUACAACAAACUGGCACUCAUUUCUUUAAAACAAAACUUUUGUAAUGAUGUUGAAAAGUCUUUUAGAAGACCUCAAAGUUAUUUGAAACUGUUUACUUAGUAGGUUAGUAGAUUAAACACUCAUUAAUGGAAACUGAAGAGGAUCCAGGUUAGAACCCUGAGGAACGCCACGCCAAGAAAAACUCUAAACUUGAGCUUAUUUCUGUUCUAAUGACAAUCAAACUGUCUUCGUUGGUAAUUAGACUUUUGGUUCUGAUGUUUUCCAGUCGGUUUCAGUUUCAAUCCUCUGGAAGAACCUCCGACUUGUUAUAACACACAAAUGAAAACUGUCGGACUCAGUUCCAGACUAGUUUGUUCCGGUUCUGACUGAACCUGUUGGAUAUUAAUCAGAAACAUCAGAACAUCACAGAGAACCACCUUAAAAACAUCAGAACCUCUGAGAGUCUAACCACCAACAAAGACAGUUUCCGUCCUGUGGCGUUCCUCAGGGUUCUAACCUGAAUCAUCUUUGGUUUGUUUCAAUCCUCUGGGAGUUCUUCAGACUCAUUAUUAAGUUAAAAGGAUCCAGGUUAGAACCCUGAGGAACGCCACAUCGUGAAAAACUCGAAACUAGACCUUAGAUCUGUUCUAAAGAUGGUAAUCAGACUCUCAGGGUGGAAUAUUUUCUGGAUCAACGUGUUCUUCAAAUAAAUUCAGGUUCCUGUCAAAAGGAACCAGGAAAUAUUCUCACAGAAUUUAGAUGUCUUUAUGAAACAGUUCCUCAAACUGAUUGAUCAGCUGAUUGAUGACUAGUCUGGACCGACUGGAAGCGUCCAGGUGAGUUUAUGGAGGUGAAGGUGGAGCUGCGGGUGAUGAGAGGCAGGUGUUUGUUGUUCUGUCCUCUGAUUGGAUGAUAAAUGAGACCAUAUAAGGAGCUGUUAGAACAAAAUGAAACCUGACACCAGCAGAGCAGAGAUCACUGUCCGAGGGUUGGACGACCAAUCAGCUGCAGUGUUAGACGGACGAGUCGGAGACACCUUUAGAAAAUC
ensembl:lncRNA